AGAAUACUAGGCAAUGCCUUCCCACAACCAGUGGGAGCAUGGGGAAUAAGCUCCAUGCUCAAGAGGGAAAGAGCCCAGAUCACCAGCUAAGGCCCCAGAAUAAUUGCUUAGUGGUAAAGGAGGUAAGGGUGCAGAAACAGCCAGGAGGUUUGCUUAGAAGCAGCCACCCUUUAAAGAGUGCGUAAUAGCUCACUGGUGGAGCGCUCUCGCGCCGAAAAUUUACGGGGCUAAGUGAUUUGCCGAAGCUGUGGGUUUAUGUAUUCAUUACAUAUACGGUAGAGGAGCGUUCCGCAAUAGGGUGAAGCAAAGGCGAAAGCACUUGUGGACAAGGCGGAAGUGAGAAUGUCGGCUUGAGUAACGUAAACAUUGGUGAAGAAUCCAAUGCCCCGAAAACCUAAGGGUUCCUUCACUAGGCUCGUCCAUGGAGGGUUAGUCAGGACCUAAGGUUAGGCCGUUAGGCGUCGCCGAUGGACAACAGGUCAACAUUCCUGUACUAUUUUUAGUUGAUACCGAGGGACGAAACAAUUGCUAGCCAACCAGUGUUGGGGUCUGGUUUGGUCACUUCAAAAGAAAAUAGGGAAAAAAAACUGUAUUUUCUACGAAGUACUUGGUAAAACAAAUAAGCAAAUGUUCUCCAAGAAAAGCUCGAACUAUCUUAAACUAAAAGUACCUGUACCUGAAACCGACACAGGUAGGUAGGUAGAGAAUACUAAGGGGCGCGAGACAACUCUCUCUAAG
rnacentral:rRNA from 1 species